AUAUAUAUAUAUAUAUAUAUAUAUAAAGGAAAUAAAGAAAGAAAAGAAUAGAAAUGAACAAACAAAGCAAACGAAACAGAGAGUAGGAAAAGGAAAGAAAGAAAAAGAGAAAAGAAAGAAGAAAAGGGAAAAUUAAAGGUUUGAAGCUUGGAAGUUUAAUAGCUAGCAUUGUGCCGAAAAAUCUCGGCUAAGCAAGGAAAAGACAAAGUCGACGAGGGAUGUCUCGAAAAUUACGGUUAAAUAAAGUUAGACCGUUGAAUCAGCAUCCUGGGCCGAUCCCGAACUCAAUAAGAGGCCUAGUAGACUUAACAAAACACAUAGGAUAUAUGGAACAAAACGGAACAACUCUAAAGCAUGUAACAAGACAAUACCGAAGUGCGUAACAGGACAACGUUAAAGCGUGUAAAGGGAAAGCACCGA